rnacentral:lncRNA from 1 species
CACUAGCUUUAGCAAUUAAGUCACAUUUGUCACAAGCAUUUUAACAUAGGAGGAAACACGGUGGGGUCUUAAAGUGUGCGGCCUCGCCUGCGAGUGCCACAAGAAAAGAAAGAGAGAGAAAGGAUAGUAGUUUGGAAUUCUGUGGGGGGCGUGGCGGAGCCAGGUAAGAGAUGGCAGAAUUGAGUCAGAAACCAGGCCGUAUUGAUUUUAAUGGAGCCCACAGCAACUCCAAUCUCUGGACAACUCAAAGGCAAGAUCCAUCCAGUGAUCCAAAUUUAACACUACACCCGGUCAGAGGAUGAUAUAGCUUAGCUGAGAAAAUAAACAGAGUAUAAUAGGAUGAAUUAGAAAGAGCUAGGUGAGAUAGAGAGAGGAGAGAAAAAGGGAAGAGUCGGUGUUAGGCAAUCUGUGAGAUCCCAGAGACUGAGGUGACUGCAGGGUGCUCCUUUUAAUGUCUUUGAUACGCAAAUGUACCCAAUACAUAUUGAUGAAUUACAUAGUGUAUUGCCAUUGGGUAAUUGUAAAUUAAGGCAAGGUAUAGGUGUGGUUUAUCCCAGCAUGGAUCAGACAAAGGGAUCUAAGUUUCCCGCCUAACCUGGGGGAAGCUGGGAUCAAGGGUCAGAGGCUUUACUAGCCAUGCGCAAGACUGAGCAUGCUCUCUUCUAAGCCACUCUGUACAUUCUAACUGUCUCCCUUGUCCAUAGCUAGGUGUGGACUGCUACAAAGUGAUAACUGAGAAGGAUUCGAUGGACACCAUCAACCAGGAGGCCAUAGGAAGGUCAAUGCAACAGAGCAUACACAGGCCAAGUAGUCCUGGUUGCCAGGAGAGGUUCCUCAGAGACUUUGAAGACAUGAAUCGGUUUCACAGCUGGAGACAGAGUGAUUUACUGCAGCAAUUCCUCAAUUAAAGUGCUUUCUCUUCACAAUGAUUGGACCCUUCCAUUAGGAAAUGAAAGCCUUUUGUAUAAAGUAAAAUGUGUUUUGUCCUCACCAAGGCAGACAAAGGAUUAAGUUAGAGGAGAAUAGUCUUGUGAACUGGC